UCAAGCAAGAAAGAGCACAAGGAGAAUGCCUUGGCACUAGGAGCCGAUGAAAGACGUGGUAAGCUGCGAAAAGCUUCGGGGAGGCGCAAACAGCCAUCGAUCCGGAGAUAUCUGAAUGGGGAAACCUACUUGAGCAAACCUCAAGUAUCCAUACGUGAAUCCAUAGCGUAUGGAAGGGAACGCUGUGAACUGAAACAUCUAAGUAGCAGUAGGAGGAGAAAGAAAACUCGAUUUCCUAAGUAGCGGCGAGCGAACGGGAAAGAGGCCAAACCGAAGGACCUGGUUCUUCGGGGUUGCGGACUGCAAUUAGCAUUGCUGAGAGAUAGACGAAUGGUUUUGGGAAAGCCAGCCGUAGACGGUGAAAGCCCGGUAGACGAAAUCUUGAAGCAGCGAGCAGGAUCCAGAGUACCACGAGACACGAGAAACCUUGUGGGAAGCCGGGGGGACCACCCCCCAAGCCUAAAUACUCCCUAGUGACCGAUAGUGAAGCAGUACUGUGAAGGAAAGGUGAAAAGGACCCCGGGAGGGGAGUGAAAGAGAACCUGAAACCUUGUGCUUACAAACAGUCAAAGGCCUACGGGCUGAUGGCGUACUUUUUGUAGAACGGUCCGGCGAGUUACUAAUGCCAGCGAGGUUAAGAUGUCAGAAGCAUCGGAGCCGAAGGGAAACCAAGUCUGAAUAGGGCGUAGAGUUGGUAUUAGUAGACCCGAAACCGGGUGACCUAUCCAUGUCCAGGUUGAAGGAACCGUAAAAGGUUUUGGAGGACCGAACACACAUGUGUUGAAAAACGUGGUGAUGAGGUGUGGAUAGCGGAGAAAUUCCAAUCGAACUCGGAGAUAGCUGGUUCUCCUCGAAAUAGCUUUAGGGCUAGCCUCGAGCUGGAGUCUAACGGAGGUAAAGCACUGAACUGACGCGGGGCCCAAAAAGGUUACCAACUCAUAUCAAACUAAGAAUGCCGUCAAGAUACCCUCGGGAGUCAGUCUGCGUGAGAUAAGUCGCGUGGACAAAAGGGAAAGAGCCCAGACCGACAGCUAAGGUCCCAAAGUACGUGUUAAGUGGAAAAGGAUGUGGGAUUUCAUAGACAACUAGGAUGUUGGCUUAGAAGCAGCCAUACAUUUAAAGAGUGCGUAAUAGCUCACUAGUCGAGAAAACCUGCGCCGAAAAUGUAACGGGGCUAAAACACGACACCGAAGCUACGGAUUCCUUACAAAGUAAGGAGUGGUAGAGGAGCAUCCUGCAAGGACGAAGCCAAAGUGAGAGCGAUGGUGGACGAAACAGGAGAGAGAAUGCCGGAAUGAGUAGCGAGAUACAUGUGAGAAACAUGUAGGCCGAAUAUCUAAGGAUUCCUGGGUAAAGCUAAUCUUCCCAGGGUUAGUCGGGGCCUAAGGCGAGGACGAAAGUCGUAGUCGAUGGAUAACAGGUUGAUAUUCCUGUACUACACAUAAUCAGAACUGUGGGGACGCAGGAGGAUAGGGAAACCGGGGAAUGGAAAGACCCGGUCAAGCGUAAAGCUGUGGGAGAUAGGCAAAUCCGUCUCUUGUAAGUGAAACGUGAUGAGGACUGAAAAAAAGUAAGGAAGUUUCCGAAUCCACACUGCCGAGAAAAGCCGCUAUUGCGUUAUGUGUACCCGUACCGUAAACCGACACAGGUAGAUGAGGAGAAAAUCCACAGGCCGACGGGAGAAGUGUUGUUAAGGAACUCGGCAAAAUGACCCCGUAACUUCGGGAUAAGGGGAGCCUCGCAAGAGGCCGCAGAAAAGAGGCACAAGCAACUGUUUAGCAAAAACAUAGGUCUAUGCGAAACCGUAAGGUGAAGUAUAUGGGCUGACGCCUGCCCGGUGCUGGAAGGUUAAAAGGAGAGGUCAGCGCAAGCGAAGCUUUGAAUUCAAGCCCCAGUAAACGGCGGCCGUAACUAUAACGGUCCUAAGGUAGCGAAAUUCCUUGUCAGGUAAGUUCUGACCCGC
rnacentral:rRNA from 1 species